rnacentral:rRNA from 1 species
CCUACGGGGGUGCAGCAGUGGGGAAUAUUGGACAAUGGGCGAAAGCCUGAUCCAGCCAUGCCGCGUGUGUGAAGAAGGCCUUCGGGUUGUAAAGCACUUUCAGUGGGGAAGAAAGCCUUGGGGCUAAUACCCUCGAGGAAGGACAUCACCCACAGAAGAAGCACCGGCUAACUCCGUGCCAGCAGCCGCGGUAAUACGGAGGGUGCGAGCGUUAAUCGGAAUUACUGGGCGUAAAGCGCGCGUAGGCGGUCUGAUAAGCCGGUUGUGAAAGCCCCGGGCUCAACCUGGGAACGGCAUCCGGAACUGUCAGGCUAGAGUGCAGGAGAGGAAGGUAGAAUUCCCGGUGUAGCGGUGAAAUGCGUAGAGAUCGGGAGGAAUACCAGUGGCGAAGGCGGCCUUCUGGACUGACACUGACGCUGAGGUGCGAAAGCGUGGGUAGCAAACAGGAUUAGCUACCCUAGUAGUC